rnacentral:lncRNA from 1 species
UCACCGCAGCAGUGGAGAUACGUCCAGAGUCACUCGAACCCCGCAGAUAUUGCGUCACGUGGAGCGCGUGUGGACGAUAUCAUGAAGAGUAAAUGGUUCACCGGUCCCGAUUUCCUGUGGAAACAGAGCUGCGAAUGGCCUGCGAUUCCAGAAAAUCUAGGCGAUAUUUCCCAAGACAUGGAAGUGAGAAGAGACCGACACUCCCAUAGAGAGGAACAACCCGUGACAGCUUCUUUGUUGAUCGGACCUGCUGAUUUAAAAACAAGCUGCGUUAAUAUCGAGCCUCUGGAUUCACAUCCCGUCGCACGACUCAUGAGCCACUAUAGUAGCAGAUGGAGAGCAAUGAGAGCAGUUGCUUGGCUGCUGAAGAUACGCCAUGCCCUGUUACAUGGCAGAGCGCCACAAAACAGUAACAGUCAUUUGAGGAUGGACGAGAUCAAAGCUGGUGAGCUCGAAAUAGUUCGAUAUGAACAGAACGACAAAUUUAGUUCAGAAGUGAAGGCCCUGGCAGCUGGUAGAUCUGUGAAGUUGUCUAGCAGCCUGCAACGGUUCAAUCCGAUCCUGAAGGACGGGAUUAUGGUGGUCGGCGGGCGUCUCGAAAACGCCCUGUUAGAAGCCAAUACGAAACAUCCUAUCAUUCUUCCCUAUGAUUCUCGGUACACCCGUCUGCUAAUACAAGAUGUACAUGAGCAAUCGGGACAUCAAGGGCUCCAGCACGUUCUCGGCCUACUACGACAAAACUAUUGGGUCAUUCAUGGGAACAAAGCCGUGAGGAAGGUGCUGAAAAGUUGCCUUCACUGUCGGAAAAGAUUCCGCCAGCCAGAGAACCAAAAGAUGUCUGAACUGCCCACAGAUAGGGUUAGAGCGUUAGAGCCCCCUUUCACACGGACUGGGGUCGACUGUUUUGGUCCGUUUUAUGUGAAGCGGGGAAGAGGGCAAGAGAAAAGAUACGGAGUUAUCUUCACAUGCUUGGUCACACGCGCCGUUCAUCUCGAGGUGGCUCAUGCUCUUUCUACGGACUCUUUUAUUUGCGCUUUGAAACGAUUCAUGUCCCGAAGAGGCAACGUCAAAGUGGUCCGGUCCGACAAUGGUACCAAUUUCAUCGGAGCGAACAAUGAAUUGCAGCACGAGUGGAAGAAACUGCAUUCUACAAAUACCAUUUAUUCAGAACUAGCAAAGAAAGGGAUCGAAUGGAUUUUCAAUACCCCAGGUGCCUCUCACCACGGAGGUGUGUGGGAAAGAAUGAUCCGAUCAACAAGAAGGAUAAUGGAGUCGCUGCUAACCACGCAGCUGCUGACGGACGAAACGCUCAGAACUUUCCUGUGUGAGGCAGAAAAUAUUAUGAACAGCCGUCCGUUGACCCCAGUGUCCAUGGAUCCAACCGACGCCGGCCCACUCACACCCAACCAUCUUUUGCUGCUAGCACCGGGAGGAUUUUUACAAACGGGAAUUUGGCAAGAAACCGACAACGUUAGCAUGAAAAGAUGGAAACAAGCAAGAUAUAUGGCAGGAAUAUUUUGGAAAAGGUGGCAGGCUGAAUACUUGCCACUGCUACAAAAGCGUCCAAAAGACUGGGCUCGUAAGAAACAAAAUUUGGAGAUUGGAGACAUCGUCCUACUAGUUGACUCAUCAGUACCGCGGGGACAAUGGCCAAUGGGAAAAGUAGAAGCCGUCAAGAUGAGCACGGACAAACUCGUUCGGUCGGCGACGAUCCUCUGCCGGGGGUCACAUCUCAACAGACCCAUAACCAAACUAGUGAAGCUCUUGUCGAACGAACAAACUGAUGAUGACCAGACGGGAAACUACUAAACAACGGAGAAGUCCAAGAAGUGAUGGCCGAUUGUUCAUGAUGCGUAUUACAUGCUCAGACUAGGCGGACAGUUCUAAUCGAUGUGAUGAUUUGGACGUACGACGGUCCAAAGGGGAGGGUGUCGUGACCGGAGACCCCCCGAAAAAGCGUCUCAUGAGCCAGCUCGAGUUUUAGUAUUUUUGAAUAUUCUCUCGGAGCAUGCAAUUUAGGUUAAAAUCGAAAAACUGUGUUUUGUGUUGGAUUUGGCAGUUGGAAAUUGGUUUGGUAUUAUUUCGUCAGUGUUAAGUUAUUUUCUCGGUUAUUAAUAUGGUUUAUUUUGUGACGAAAGCGAAGCGAUAGAACGACACGACAUUACGGAUGAACGAAGCCACCGAACGAUACGAAUUAUUUCUGCGACCCGCCUAUAAAUCCGACAUUCUUGAGCUGCUGUCGCCGCCGGGGAAGCGGAGGAUGGGUGGCGUCCCAGGGACCGCACCCACUAAAUGCCUUCGUCGGUCUCAAACUGCUGCUCAAACUGCUGCUAUCGUCGCUGGAGCUGAUGCAACCGCAGACAUUAUUGUCGGCACUUGCUGUCCGCUACACGGGCGCGGGCAUGCGCGCCGAAUGCUUAUUACCUCUGAUGGUUCUAAUGGCAUUUAGUAUAUUUGUUUCUUCUCUCGAUGAAUAACAAAGUCUUUCUUCAGUUU